CAAGAAGUUCAGCCUAGAACUUUAGGUACUUCGUUUUCAAGCCAAAGUUGUCUGGCACAGAUGAUUUUAAAAGAAAAUCUCCGGCUCCACCCAAACCUCACUGGUAUGAAACCCUUCCUUUAGAAUGUUAAGGAAAUCCACUGUUUUGAAACCUGUGGCUGACCUCGGCUUCAAACAUGGAAAUUCUCCAGACCAGGGAAGUAACGUGGUGCUACUUCAGGUCUCCAUCAAGGGUCUCUGUCACUUUAGCACUGCUGCUCAGCUGGGUGGGUUCCUGGGCUCCCUGCAGCAAGUGAGCAGGCUGAACUCACCCCACAGGCAGGCUUAGUGGGGGUUGGCUGGUGACUAUCAUGUGACUGGACUUGGGUUCCCCUCUAGGGAGAGCGCUCACAGCACCCUUCAGCCACAGCCUCAGGUGCAAGGCGGCACCAGGAAGGAGCCAGCUGCUGUGAGUCUCUGUGCUGUCUGGGGCCUCCUGAAGCUCCUCAAAGGAGGGGCUCCAGGGCUCUGGCUGCCACGGGCACUGGAGGUGGGGGCAAUCAUCCGUGGAACUCUGUGACAUUUUCUUUCUGUUUAUUCUUUAUGUUUUAGUGGAAUUCUGUGGUCCAGACUGGGUUUCAGACUCCGUGCUCUCAGAGUCAGCUAAAGUACAAAGGGGGAAAAAAAGAGAAAGUAGUGGGAAAAAUUAGAUUCUUGAUUUGUGUCCAGAUGGUUCUGGACGAAAAUAGACUCAGAGAUUCUCACUGCAAACUUGCCUCUGGUAUGAAGCUCCCCUCCCCUCUUCAUUUAAGGUCUUCUUGGUAGAAGAGGGAAUGGGGAUGGGAAAAUACUGGGAAUGUUCAUUUUUCUUUUUCCCAGCCAUAGAUUUAAAAGGCUGCACAGGUUCUAGCUGAGGGCUUUCCUGGAACACCAGGAGUCGCCCCGCACGCAGGGGCCUGGGAUGAUGGGGUUUGCACCAACUUGGAAGAGCUCCUCGAAGGCUGGCCUAAAGGCAGGAUGGGCUAGUGUGCUCUGCAGGUAGCAACAGUGUGCGCUGAGGAAGCACGGCAGCAGCUGGACCCAGGGAAAGGCUACAGAGCCCUCCAUGGUCAAGGCACACGGUCAAGUGAAAGGAGAAAGGCAGCGCCCAGGCCCUGGGCUCUGGGUCCCCCGCUGUCAGGAAGUACCACAGUCUCACACCCAUCCAUUCUCCUUCCCUUCGGAGAGGUGCUCCCAGGGAAUGGGCCUGCUGGAGGCCCAGCAGAAUGUGGAUGGCACCAAGUCCUCUUUGGGGCUAGCACAGGAGACUUGAAGCGUCCAGCUGUCAGAAACGGAAAACCUGGCAGAUGUAAUGGCUCACUUCUUGAUCCAUAGGGCAUGAGCUUGACAACACAACCACAGUGACCCUGGGGCCACACCCCAACCAGACAGAGGCAUGCCUUGUGGUCCUCUGGUCCCCCAAAUUAUUCCCACGCAUCCUUUGAUGCUCAGUGGGAGCUCAGUGCCCAUAAGCUACCACCCAAGCCAGGCGUCUUAAAGUCCAGGACUUCCUCUACUGAGGCAGCCCAGUGGCAGUCCAUCAGAUGCCGAUGCAAUGAGUAGUGGCCAGAUGGAAGAUACUUUUUAAAAAAUGCAAUUUCCUUUCUAAUGUUAAACUGCCUUAGAGGACAAGCAGAGUGCCAGUGAGUCAGUCCCUGGUUCUGAGUGCCAGGGCUGGGCAAGGGAGGAAAGCUGAAGAGAUCUCAGCGACAGGAACCAGGCAGAUGCCAGAGGCCAAAAGCAGCACAGUCCAAAGGAAGCAUCCAUGUGAACGUCAGGUGGUGAGAUGCAAGUCAGAUUCCAGGCACUGCUGCCACCAGACCCCAAGGCAGACACUGAAAGAGAAGCCCAGGCACUGGGGUUCAAAUGCUGGGACCUCUUUAUAAAUUGCCUGGGGUCAUAGCUGGGUUCAGCCCCGAGGUUUUUUUUCAGAGUCUGAGGGUUUAAACUUUAACUUUUAACUUUCCUAAUCCCCUUCACCUGUAUGUUAGGUAUUUUUUCAACUUUAAAUCAGCAUUAGGGGAAACCUUAUUUUAUAGGCAGUAUGUUUGAACAGAGAAUAAUAAUAGUAUUUCACAAUUUACUGGGCUUUAUAUUUAACAAAUCACUUUUCUAUCUCUUCUAUCAUGUGGGUUUCAAAAUUACCUGGUGAGGCGGAAAUGACGACUCCACAGACCAUCAGGCUCCCUGAAGCUUACACCAAAUCCACGAUUGGAGGCCUCCCAGCUUCCCCAUCCUCCCUGGAAACAAGAUUGGCAAUGAUUUCCAGAAACCAGUACUGCAGUGGAAGCAGCCAUCUAUGCACUUGCCACAAUUUUAACCACUAACCAAUAUAUACAAACAAACCUGCAAAGUUGGAAUAUUUUGGCCAAAAUCAUGGUUGUCCACUGCUACUUUCUAGAUCAUCAAAAUGCCCUCUGGUUGCCCAGAUGUUUUAUUCCAGACAGUAUGGUAAUGGUAACUUUUAUGAGACUGAUGCUAUGGAACCAUUUAUGGCCCCAAACAAAUUCAAAAUCUAUGAAGAUUUAUUGUGGAAGUUACAGAUUAGGAAAAGCUGGAGGAAAACGAAAACAGAGCUUAGUCUAAAUCUUUUCAUAGCCUUUCUAUCAGAGUGAUUGUCGAGUUAACUUCCAACCAGGAAGCAUGUAUACAAAGCAACUUAGGAUCCAAAUCGCUGAUACAGAAUGUUCCAAUAUGGGGCACACCUGUGCUUGGGAGGAGGUGAAAGAGAGUGGGGUGGAGAAGAAAGGAAUAGCUUUUAUCCUGGAGCAAAUGGAAACUCUUAAUGGGUGGGACAUGAAUAUGUCUGUCUCCAAGAUGUAUUUCUUUAUCAAUUACGGCUCAUCUACUAGUGACUAAGAGCCCAGACUAAAUUUGUGUAAGGCAAAACAUUAAUUUAUAGGUCUGCACAACUUACAAGUCUAGGGGCUGGCUGUUAGAGACUUAACGUUUGUAUUCCCCCCCAAUUCAAAAGUAGAAACCCUAGUGCUCCUUGUAAUGGUAUUUGGAGGUAAGGCCUUUGGGGAUAAUUAGGUUGAGAUGAUGUCAUGAGGGUGGGGUCCUCAUAAUGAGAACAAUGCCUUUGUAAGAGAUGAGAGAGUUCUCUCUCUCCCCCCGCCAUGUGCAGAUACAGCAAGGCAGCCAUAUGAAAUCCAGGAAGAGAGCUCUCACUGGGACCUGACCAUGCUGGGACCUUGACCUUGGACUUCUAGCUUCUAGAACUGUGACAAAUAAAUUCUCUUGUUAAGCCA